GAUGAACGCUGGCGGCGUGCUUAACACAUGCAAGUCGAACGAAGCAUUUGCGACAGAUUUCUUCGGAUUGAAGUUGCUUAUGACUGAGUGGCGGACGGGUGAGUAACGCGUGGGUAACCUGCCUCAUACAGGGGGAUAGCAGCUGGAAACGGCUGGUAAUACCGCAUAAGCGCACAGUACCACAUGGUACAGUGUGAAAAACUCCGGUGGUAUGAGAUGGACCCGCGUCGGAUUAGCUAGUUGGGGAGGUAACGGCCCACCAAGGCGACGAUCAGUGGCCGACCUGAGAGGGUGACCGGCCACAUUGGGACUGAGACACGGCCCAGACUCCUACGGGAGGCAGCAGUGGGGAAUAUUGCACAAUGGAGGAAACUCUGAUGCAGCGACGCCGCGUGAGUGAAGAAGUAGUUCGCUAUGUAAAGCUCUAUCAGCAGGGAAGAUAGUGACGGUACCUGACUAAGAAGCUCCGGCUAAAUACGUGCCAGCAGCCGCCGUAA
rnacentral:rRNA from 1 species